GGCGGUGUGUCCGAGUGGUUAAGGAGAUGGACUAGAAAUCCAUUAGGCUGUGCCUGCGCAGGUUCGAAUCCUGCCGCCGUCG
rnacentral:tRNA from 1 species